GCGUCCAAUAAAUAAUGGCCGGGCGACGCCCACCAAUUGAGAUGGGUAGGGGAUUUGAGAGGACGUCCCCCACANUGUANUGAGACACGGANAAGAUUCUGCGGGGAGGCAGCAGUAAGGGAUAUUGGUCAAUGGUCGGAAGACUGAACCAGCCAUGCCGCGUGAGGUAUGAAGGCCCUACGGGUAGUAAGCUUAUUUACCCGGGGGACAAGGGCGCCCACGCGAUGGGUGCUAGAGGAUACCGGGGGAAUAAGCGUCGGCUAACUCCGUGCCAGCAGCCGCGGUAAUACGGAGGACGCGAGCGUUAUCCGGAUUCAUUGGGUUUAAAGGGUGCGCAGGCGGCCUGUCAAGUCAGCGGUGAAAGCCCGGGGCCCAACCCCGGAAGUGCCGUUGAUACUGUCGGGCUGGAAUGCGGUCGAGGCGGGCGGAACGUGGCGUGUAGCGGUGAAAUGCGUAGAUAUGCCACAGAACGCCGAUAGCGGAGGCAGCUCGCCAGGCCUGCAUUGACGCUCGGGCACGAAAGCGUGGGGAUCGAACA
rnacentral:rRNA from 1 species